rnacentral:rRNA from 1 species
AACGAACGCUGGCGACAUGCCUACACCUGCAAGUCGAACGAAGGCCUCGGGCUUUGUUGCGCACGGGUGCGUAACGCGUGGGAAUCUGCCCCUGGGUUCGGAAUAACAGGUAGAAAUUACUGCCAAUACCGGAUGAUGUCUUCCGACCAAAGAUUUAUGGCCCAAGGAUGAGCCCGCGUAGGAAUAGGUAGUUGGUGGGGUAAUGGCCCACCAAGCCGACGAUCCUUAGCUGGUCCGAGAGGAUGAUCAGCCACACUGGGACUGAGACACGGCCCAGACUCCUACGGGAGGCAGCAGUGGGGAAUAUUGGACAAUGGGCGAAAGCCUGAUCCAGCAAUGCCGCGUGAGUGAUGAAGGCCUUAGGGUUGUAAAGCUCUUUUACCAGGGAUGAUAUGACAGUACCUGGAGAAUAAGCUCCGGCUAACUCCGUGCCAGCAGCCGCAGUAAUAC